rnacentral:misc_RNA from 1 species
GAUGAAGAACGUAGCGAAAUGCGAUAAGUAAUGUGAAUUGCAGAAUUCAGUGAAUCAUCGAAUCUUUGAACGCACAUUGCGCCCGUCAGUAUUCUGGCGGGCAUGCCUGUUCGAGCGUCAUUACGCCCCUCAAGUCCCCUGUGGACUUGGUGUUGGGGAUCGGCGAGGCUGGUUUUCCAGCACAGCCGUCCCUUAAAUUAAUUGGCGGUCUCGCCGUGGCCCUCCUCUGCGCAGUAGUAAAACACUCGCAACAGGAGCCCGGCGCGGACCACUGCCGUAAAACCCCCCAACUUUUUAUAGUUGACCUCGAAUCAGGUAGGACUACCCGCUGAACUUAAGCAUAUCAAUAAGCGGAGGA